ensembl:lncRNA
GUUCACUGUCAUGCUUUAUUAUCUUCUUCUGCAUUUUUUUCUUUCCAUAAUUAAGUUCCACCUUUGACAGUUGGGAAUGUUGUUUAGAUAUACUGACAAUUCUGCACUUAAUCAUACACUGGAUACUGCUCAAAGGGAAUCUCAUCACUGCUAUCUGCUGCACCACUUACUUACACAUGAUUAUUAAAAUUUAUUGAGAUGUCCAACUCAAACAAUAAACAGUAGUACUUAGUGGUACAUAUAGAGAAGUGUCCACGUGGGACAAAUGAAGAGUGCACUGUUCAAUAAAAAUUGCGAUAUUUUUUCUAUGCAAAACCAACCCACUUUCACUCACUGACUCCUAAUGAAGCUGUGUGUCCCAGGUGAACAUAAACAUAUUUAAAGCCUGUUGUCCGAUUAACCUUAAUCUUUGAUCCUUUUAAAGCACACUUAAAUCUGCCAUAGGUUUGCAAUGAAGCUUUGGACUGUGAUAUCACAGUGAGAUAUCUGAUCAUUUGAUUUGUUAAAAUAGUGAAAUUCACCAAGACUUAAUAAUAAUAUAGACACAUUUUUACAUUUAACAUAGAAACAUUUCAUUGCUGCAUUUAAAUGAUAUUUUACAGGAGGCCGGGGUUCCCAUGUAGUUUUAAAGUAAUUGCCUGUGGAUGUUGAUACUUCUAGGCUCUGAGGUAAAAAAAAAAAAAAAGCUUGAUGCAUUGACCCAUGGUCCAAACCAUACUACAUUAUGUGCUACCCCUUUCUUGACAUGCAGAAUUGUUCAAAGUCUAAAAAAAUCUAUCUUCAUAGCUUGCAAUGAAGAGUCUGUCUAUCUGGAGCCUAUCAUGAAAGAUGUGUGGGGGCUUAAUGUUGGCUUAGUGGUUAGCACAUUUGCCUCGCACCUCUGGGGGUGGUUGGAAUCCUGCCUCCGUCCUGUGUGCGCAGAGAACAAAGCGACAAUCAAAACAACAGCAUAGCAGUUGUCCAAGAGGCUAACACAAUGGUUUCAAUGUGCUCCUUUUAAAUAGACAGCUCGGCCUCUUUUCGCCGGGUUCCUGCCUUCCUAUUGGUCAGGUCUUGUCAACCAGUUAACGGAGAUAAUGGAACACACAAACACUGACAUGUAACAGUGGUACAGUAGCUCUUCUGUGUGAUUGGACAAGACGGGCAAGCCUCUGCUCCUGACACGUAUCAAUGAGCCUUGGCGCCCAUGACCCUGUUACCAUUUCACUGGUUGUCUUUCUUGGACCACUUUUGGUAGGUACUAACCACUGCAUUCCUUGAACACCGCAUGAGACCUGCACUGCUCUGACCCAGUCGUCUAGCCAUCACAAUCUGGCCCUUGUCAAAGCUGCUCAGUUCCUUACGCUUGCCCAUUUUUGCAGCAACUUAGAGAACUGAUUGUUCACUUGCUGCCUAAUAAAUCCCGCCCCUCAACAGGAGCCACUGUAAUGAGAUAAUCCAUGUUAUUCCCUUCAGCUGUCAGUGGUUUGAAUGUUAUGGUUCAUCGGUGCAUUAUGUAUUUUAAUGGUAAUUUUAUUAUUUUUAUGUUUCACUUUAUCUAUUUUAUUUCUGUGAUAAUGCAUCUGCAUAUUUUAAAAAUAUAGUUAAUUAACUAAAGUACAGUCAAAUUAUGUUUUAGUUUAUUGACUGGUUUCUGACUUUAUAUUGUUUAACACAGUUUUGAAGUUACGGUUAGGCUAACCCUUUUUAGCAUUGUUUGUAAUUAAAUGACUAUUUUUUUUAAUUGAAAAAAUGUAAGUAUACAUUUUUAUUGGUUGUCAGGCCCACACAAUCUAUGAACUCAAUCAAACACUCACUUUAAAAGGAGACACUCACUUACAGUAUUCUUGUGAAAUAAGUUGUGAAAUUUGUGUUCAUCAUCUGACUUAACCAAACCUUCGGUUCUGAGUUUGUUGUUCUGGUUCUUCAGUCACGUGUCUUGUAUAGCCUAGUUUGUAUUGUUUGUUCAGCGCCCGACCUACGCCUGUUUAUGUGAAUUUGAUCUUGCCUUACUUUUUGGAUAUUUCUGCUUGCUCUUAUUAAAGCACUGAACUGCACUU